CCGCCCGGGGCUGCUCCGGUAAGGGGUCCGACCGCGGGCGGAGAGCGCCAAGCCGUGGAGGAGCGGGCGUCAGGUGCAGAACUUCUGUAAGGUCUGGAAGCCGGACGUGCGUGGACGUUCAUACGCACGGACCUGAAGUUACGGAGGUCGCACUCACAGGCCGUUCUGCUGCACAGACCGGAGCCCCCGCUGCCAGUGUGUGUCCACCUGUACAGGAUUACCACCACCAUCUGAGAUAUCUGAUCAUUUCUCCAAUUAUAAGAUCCUCAUCCAUCUAGGAUUGGUACCACACUCUGAGUCAUCUGCUACUCCUUAUGAACCCAGUAAAUGGUGAAAAUUCCCAACAUGGGGAAUCAAGAUACAUCUGAAUAGCAAGAUCUGAAUAUCUGUCUUGAAUGAAAACAAACAUUGAAAACAGAAGAUGGAAGUCUGAUAGUUAUAUAUGAUGUUUCCUACUUGAGAAGAAUUACACAAAUUCAGCAUUAAAGACAACACAUCAAGGCUUCUGAAGCUUAUACAGGACCCAGAUAUUCCUGAUGUCUCUGGAAAGCUCCUUUGCUAUGAAAAGGAUAAUUACAAUGCAACCCCUGAAAGAACUCGAGAAAUAAACAUUUACAUCAACCUGUCAUGCUUU